ACGGCAGAUUACGGGCGCCCCCUGGCGGUGCUUCUGGAGACGGGGCUGCAGAGUCCGGACGACGGGCCGGUGCUGGAUCCUGAUUGGCCGAACGUCCUGAGGGCCGAGCUCCCCUUCUGGAACGGCUGUGAGCAGGAAGAUGUCUGCGUCCCCGACCUCAUCCUGCACAGCCACACCGACCUGAUGAGCGCUCAGCAGUUCUGCGGCUCCAGGGAGGGGGCGUCCUGGUCUCUGUGCAGCCAGCAGGGGGCGCCGCAAGGCUCGCUCCACGUGGUGGAGGCCGGUCGGAGGAGGGUGGUGGUGUUCGCCCGGCUGGAGAAUCAGGGAGAAAAUGCUUACGGAGCGUCCGUCCAAAUCUCCACCUCCUCCAACCUCCUGUUCUCCAGCCUCAUCGUCA